CGGCCUGUAGUGCAACGGCAGCACGUCUGACUCUGGUUCAGAAGGUUCAGGUUCGAAUCCUGGCAGGCCAG
rnacentral:tRNA from 1 species